rnacentral:rRNA from 2 species
GCGUAAAAGCGGCGCGCAGGCCGGUCUCUUAGUCUGAUGUGAAAGCCCACGGUUCAACCGUGGAAGGGUCAUUUGGAAACUUGGGAGACUUGAGUGCAGGGAGAGAAAAAGUGGAAUUUCCACGUGUAGCGGUGAAAUGCGUAGAGAUGUGGAGGAACACCAGUGGCGAAGGCGGCUUUUUGGCCUGUAACUGACGCUGAGGCGCGAAAGCGUGGGGAGCAAACAGGAUUAGAUACCCUGGUAGUCCACGCCGUAAACGAUGAGUGCUAGGUGUUGGGGGGUUCCACCCUCAGUGCUGAAGUUAACACAUUAAGCACUCCGCCUGGGGAGUACGACCGCAAGGUUGAAACUCAAAGGAAUUGACGGGGGCCCGCACAAGCAGUGGAGCAUGUGGUUUAAUUCGAAGCAACGCGAAGAACCUUACCAGGUCUUGACAUCCUUUGACCACUCUAGAGAUAGAGCUUUCCCCUUCGGGGGACAAAGUGACAGGUGGUGCAUGGUUGUCGUCAGCUCGUGUCGUGAGAUGUUGGGUUAAGUCCCGCAACGAGCGCAACCCUUGACCUUAGUUGCCAGCAUUCAGUUGGGCACUCUAAGGUGACUGCCGGUGACAAACCGGAGGAAGGUGGGGAUGACGUCAAAUCAUCAUGCCCCUUAUGACCUGGGCUACACACGUGCUACAAUGGAUGAUACAAAGGGUUGCGAAGCCGCGAGGCCAAGCCAAUCCCAAAAAGUCAUUCUCAGUUCGGAUUGUAGGCUGCAACUCGCCUACAUGAAGCCGGAAUUGCUAGUAAUCGCGGAUCAGCAUGCCGCGGUGAAUACGUUCCCGGGCCUUGUACACACCGCCCGUCACACCACGAGAGUUUGUAACACCCGAAGUCGGUGGGGUAACCCUUUGGAGCCAGCCGCCGAAAGGGGAGCCCGU